rnacentral:lncRNA from 1 species
CCCCGCUGGCAAUCUUCAAGCCGCCAGUCAAGCCCCCUCCAACUCGAGUCGUUCGUCGACCUGACCCAACACUCCACCCUCCCGUUUUCAUUUUCUUCACGAGGGCUUGAGCUGAACGGCCCAACAGCCUCCACCUCUUCGCUGCUGCUUCUUCACGCCAGCAACAACCAGCAUCCAAACAACCACCAAACAGUCGCAUACCUCCCUCUCUCAAUAUCACCCAAACAAACCAUGACCUCCUUCUUCUUCGCUCCAAAAUCAGAAGCACCGGCUAGUUCGAGUUCGAAUCUUCUUUUGUUGAAGUUAAUUGGUCGAGUUCAUGUUUUUAUUUUCUUUCGUCGAGGUCGUUGACAGUCUCGUUGAGGUUGUCGUGCAAGAUUUGGUGACGGAUUGGCCUUUGCUCCAGUUUUCUUUUCGAUUUUUAAUUGUAUAUCAGGUAUGAAUCUCGAUCUGAAAUUCUGAAAUUGUCGAUCCGUUUGGCACUAUUUUCUUAUGUUCCGACGUCUCCUUUGGGUUGUUGAGACAUAGGUCCACGAUUAGCUCGUUGACGCUUUCAAUUUGCGCUAAUUGUUUACUACUUCUGUUUUGUUAAAGUAAGUUGAUUCACAUUCCUUGCUCACGUAGUUUAUUGUUAUUGCUCUUUAUGUGAGACGUCUUUAUUCUUACGGAGGCAAUUCUUUUUUCUACCUAAACACUGUCAACCUUUGUUUCCCCCUUUGAGCUGUAUUUGUUCUUUCAUAUCCCUCUCUUGGUAUCGUGAAAGAAAAAAAAGAAAAAAAGAAAAAUGAUAAGAAAAACAUAAGAAAACAAAUAUUUAGGAACUACAUUUGACCUUAUUCCUCAAGAAAGGAUACGUAGGAUCCUCACGACUCGGUCAUAGUGUGACGAAAUGUCGAGAAAAAUCAAAAAUCCCCAAGGAGAAAACUGGGGCGAAAGUUAGGUUGUUAGAAAAUUUUUGAUUCCAAGAGUUGCGGACUCUCACCCAUCGAAGUCACUUCGAAUUUUUGAUACCCUUUUUCUUUAAAGCACACAAAACCCACAUGUUAUAACCAAAAAAGACCUCCCGAUCAGUUUCCGAAAGGUGUCGAUUCAUGCAAGUGGAAGCCAGGAAUAAUACAUUGAUCCCCAGACGAGGGAAGAUUAUGAGCUGAGGGAACUACUAUCAGGAAUCCCUAGCAGAAAUCCCUAGAAGAAUCGCUAGCCAAAGGAAUACCCGGUAGAGUUGAUAGCAAAAGAAUUCCCCAGUAGAGAGAAUCUUAUUGGUAACGCUCCCAUUCCCAACUGAGAAAAUAAAAUGAGAGAGUCUUAUCGUUGAAAACCUUUACAUGCACCAUAAGGUGACGAAAGCUAAGAGAAAACAAAAUGGGAGAGUCUAAUUAGUGAAAAAACCUGGAAGGGCACUAUGAGGCGACAAUAUAAGAUUAGCAGAAAGGAUCCGAAUUUGGGCAAAAGUUGGGCACCUAUUUAUCCCCAGCAAAUGAAGCCAUCAGAAAUUGAUUAAUACCAAUAGACUGGGUCGAUUAUUACAGAAUAUAUGACAUGAUCAUCGGGGCCAUCAUAUCACCCAGAUAAGUCUUUUCUUUUCUUUUCUUUUUCCCAGCGUUCGUUCAGAAAGAUUUUUUCCCUUUUUGUAUCAUUUCUUUUGACUUUCCCCAGCAGUUUAUUUUUGAGAAAGUUUUGUCAGGGUUUGCAACCUGUUGCCAAAUGGUACAAGGCAAAAUACGAAUAAGGCCAGCGGAAGACAAGGCAACAAAACGAAAGAGCUUUGUUGCAAGGCCCUCUUGAAUAGAAUGGCCUUGUUUGAAUUGGUGUGGAGUUGGUUAGGUUUUGUUUACAAAAGUGACCAAUUAAUUCCACCGGAUGGGUCCAGAAUAUCAGGAGAAGUAUGGGAAAGGCUGGAAAGGCAAUAGUUGGGAAAACGUGGACCAAAUUGCAAGAGAAUCCCCGGCAGGAGUGGCACAACCACUCACCAUGUUUUGAACUAAUAAAGUUUUCUUUGAUUUGAAGUAGAAAAAGAAAUGCUGAUAAUGGCAGAAGGGUGUACCACAAGGGAGAGCGCCAGAAUUGGGGCAGAAAAUUUUCUGCCUUUGUCGAAACUUUCCUCGGAAAGGGGGGAAACUGAAUUCAACUUAUGGCUUUAUCUCAUAUUUGAUAAUGGCAGAAGGGCGUACCACAAGGGUGAGCGCCAGAAUUGGGGUAGAAAAUUUUCUGCCUUUGUCGAAAAUUUCCUCGGAAAGGGGGGAACCGAAUUCAAGUUAUGACUUCAUCUCAUAUGACUAUGAGUCAUAUAGCUUUGCAUCCUACAUAGCUUUGAAUCCUACAUCUCAUGUGACUACGUGUCACUUUGCAUCUACAUCUCAUAUGACUACGUGUCAUUUUGCAUCUAUAUCUCAUGUGACUACGUGUCACUUUGAAUCUGCAUCUCAUAUAAUCGCAUCGCAUAUAACUCUAGUCAUAUAGCUUUGCAAUUAUGACUUGAAAUCGGUAACCCACGUAAGGUAGAAGGUUACAACAAAAGCCCCAGCAUAACAAAUGUUGAUGAAAGAAAUCCAUCUCCCCGGUGGAAUUGCCAAGAAACGUAAUGAAGGAAGCCAUAUCCCCAGCAGAACAAGCAAAUAUCAACGAAAACUAGUGUUCAGACAGGCAAAAGGUCAGUGUCAUCCCCAGGCUCCCGGAAGAAAGAAGCACCGGAAGAAACACAAGCUGACAAGAAAGCAAGGCCAGCAAAAACAAAUUGAAGAUAGAUAGGAUCUUGUGAUCCGUAGGCUAGCCUAGCUUCUUGUUUUUCUCUUUGACACGGUAUAAUAAGGAGAUCAGUAAAGCAGUGGUAACAACACACAGCAGCCGUAUCGGCAAAACUAACUUCUUGUUUUAUUCUUUGACAUAGUGUAAUAAGGAGACCAGUAAGGCAAUGGUAACAGUAUACAGCAACAGUAACAGCAGAACCACAGUUCCCCGGUAGUCCCAGCUACCAAGACUUCCCUAACUACAUUGACCAGAUUCCCUUUUAGCCAGGGAUAUGUAGGAAACCUUUGAAGCAAAGGUUCGGUCAAUUAUUUCAAAAAAUGCUUAACACGGAUUACUUAAAUGGGCAAAAAUCGCUCGUAUCCGCUCACUUUAUCUUUGCACGAAAACUCUUCGUGUUUCCGGACAAAGAGGGGCGGCUGUGAGCACGUAAUAUUUAUCCUAUAUGAGAAUUACUUCCAAAAAAUUAAAAAUAAAACAAUAUUUUUUUUAUUUGCAAUUACUGUGAAUUUUGUGUUAUUUCUCUUGUAUUGUUUGCAUUAUGUCUGUGCAUGAAUUAUUUGUUAAAUUAAUUAAAGAAAAUACAAAAAUAUGCUGCAUUUGUAUUUAAGAUUUAAUUUUACAGUUAGGAUUAAUUAAGUAACUUGUUUUACAAAAAUGAAACACAAAAAUAAUGUACUUUGUGUUAUGAAAUAAUAUAAAAGACAAGAACAAUAUAGAGAGAAUAGAGAGAGAGAAGUAUUCUNNNNNNNNNNNNNNNNNNNNNNNNNNNNNNNNNNNNNNNNNNNNNNNNNNNNNNNNNNNNNNNNNNNAUUGAUACUUGGGAUUGUUAGGGAUGAUUUACAAUGGUAGAAGACCCCUUUAUUUAUAGGGAGGGGGAUGAUUUUGCUACCAAGAAUAGAACUCUAGAAUCUCUCUAAUUAUAGACAUUCACCUUAUAGACAUUCACCUUAAAUAGGAGAUUUCAUAAUACUUUGCAUUUUUUUUGUUUAAUGUCAAAUUGUGUGAUUUUCUUAAAAUUUGAUAUUAAAUUUUUUGUGAUGACUUAGAGUUAAUUAUUAUGUUAGGAUAAUUUGGUCAAGUAUUAUUAUUUUAGCCACCCUUACCGCCUGAACCCCNNNNNNNNNNNNNNNNNNNNNNNNNNNNNNNNNNNNNNNNNNNNNNNNNNNNNNNNGCUGCCGGUCAACCCCCCUCCAACUCAAGUCGUUCGUCGACCUGACCCAACACUCCACCCUCUCGUUUUCAUCUUCUUCACGAGGGCUUGAGCUGAACGGCCCAGCAGCCACCACCUCUUCGCUGCUGCUUCUUCACGCCAGCAACAACCAGAAUCCAAACAACCACCAAACAGUCGCACACCUCCCUCUCUAGUCUCACCCAAACGAACCCUGAACUCCUUCUUCGCUCCGAAAUCAGAAGCACCGGCGAGUUCGAGUUCGAAUCUUUUUUUGUUGAAGUCAAUUAGUCGAGUUCAUGUUCGGGUUUUCUUCCGUCGAGGUCGUUGACAGUCUCGUUGAGGUUUUCCGUUCAAGAUUUGGUGACGGAUUGGCCUUUGCUCCAGUUUCUUUUCGAUUUUUAAUUGUAUAUCAGGUAUGAAUCUCGAUCCGAAAUGCUGAAAUUGUUGAUCCAUUUGGCACUAUUUUAUUAUGUUCCGACGUCUCCUUUGGGUUGCUGAGCCAUAGGUCCAUGAUUAGCUCGUUGACGAUUUCAAUUUUUGCUAAUUGUUUACUGCUUCUGUUUUGUUAAAGUAAGUUGAUUCACAGUCCUCGCUCACGUAGUUUAUUGUUAUUGCUCUUUAUGCGAGGCGGCUUUGUUCUGAUUGUGACUCGAUCUUUGCUUGAUUCUGUUGUUAUUGAGACAGCAUUUAUAGUAGAUUUUUGAUGGAAUUAAAAUGAAGGUUAGUUUUGUUAUUUCAGAAAACGAAGUCAGUGAAGGCUCCAUCUUCUCCUCUCGUCAUUUAUGCUACUUUGAAUAAUUGUUUCCUGAAUAUUUUAGUGUUGCCAUUUGUUUUGUUUGAUGCCAUUUUAAUUUUGCUGCUUUUAGGAAUAUUGUGGAUGUUAUAUAAUUACUAUGAUCAAUUAGUGAAAGUUUUCAGUUUGAUUUUGGAAGUAAUCGUGUUUUAAAUAGGAGGAGUUUUAAUAAUUGGGGACUGGAAUUUGGGCAUAUUUGGUUAAGUUAAUGGCCAGUUGUUUUGGCACUAAUAAAGUAGCUUAUAACAUUAGUUUAAUAAUUUGGGGUACGAAACAUAUUGGUAUNNNNNNNNNNNNNNNNNNNNNNNNNNNNNNNNNNNNNNNNNNNNNNNNNNNNNNNNNNNNNNNNNNNNNNNNNNNNNNNNNNNNNNNNNNNNNNNNNNNNNNNNNNNNNNNNNNNNNNNNNNNNNNNNNNNNNNNNNNNNNNNNNNNNNNNNNNNNNNNNNNNNNNNNNNNNNNNNNNNNNNNNNNNNNNNNNNNNNNNNNNNNNNNNNNNNNNNNNNNNNNNNNNNNNNNNNNNNNNNNNNNNNNNNNNNNNNNNNNNNNNNNNNNNNNNNNNNNNNNNNNNNNNNNNNNNNNNNNNNNNNNNNNNNNNNNNNNNNNNNNNNNNNNNNNNNNNNNNNNNNNNNNNNNNNNNNNNNNNNNNNNNNNNNGGGGGGGGGGGGGGGGGGGGGGGCCAUUAAGUUAUGAGUAGUACACUAAUAUAUUAGUCAAAAAGGGGGUACUGUGGGGUUUGUUUGAGUUCUUUAGCUUAAUUGAAAAUCAAAAAUAGUACAAGUGGUAAUAAAGGGGUAAAAGAUACACAUAGAUAGGAAUAUUUUGUGGUGAAAAGUAAAGAAAGGAGUGGGGGUAAUUAAAAGGGUAAUAAUAAAUGGGGUAGAAUAAUAAUUAAAGGGGAACAGUCUUAUUUUAGAGAUAAAUAAGAGUCAUUUUAACACUUAGAGAGGGAUCUUGAACAGACUAAAAAAAAAAUACCCUGAGAGAAUAUACUGAGGGAUAGAGUGAGGUUUAAGGCUAAGCUUACCAAAAGAGAGCUUCAUAUUUUUUUCUUCUUAAGUGCUUGAAAUCAAAAGCUACUGUCGAUCUCUGCUUGGAUUUGGUGUUUGUUGUCUGAUACUACAGGUUUUCAAUUAGUAUUGCUGGAAUUUUUCGGUUGGGAUUCAAACAUUAUUGAUGUUGGUUUUUCUUAAGUUCCUUGCUUGGUUGAUCUAUUCCUGGGAUUUCUGCCUGCACUAUUGUUCCACUAGUUGUUCUGUUGUUGCUGAACUUGAUGUGUUAAAGUGCUACUGCCACUACUGACUCUUCAUCUCUUUCCUUUGCUUUGCAAAUUAUCAGGUACACAACUACUUAUUGGUACACAAUGUAAUCUGGAACAUUUGAAGCAUGAAUAAAAUGAGCCUUAAAGCUUAAAGUCAUUAGCUAUAUUUGUACAUUCUAAGUUGUAUAUAUAUGUUAGUUAUUAGUUCAUUAGAAUCAUGUGAGUAGUUUUAAUAUAUAAAUAAGUGUUAAUCUGUAGUAGUUUCAGUUUGCAAACUCAAUCUCAUGUAUGCUAAUUAAAAAAAAACCGAUGAUGUAGUAUGCACGUUCUGCCAUUUCCAAUUUCGUUUUAUCUAUAGCACAUUAAAAUGUACAUCAGGUUUUAAGUAAAUUAAUCAGUAGUUUAAAUUCUCUUAGUUAAUAACUUGUCCAUUUGGAUUCAUAAAGAAAAUAAAUAAGUUUCCUUAGAUAUUGUCUUUAUUUCUGCCUUAUCGCGAAGCUCGAACGAGUAGUAUAAUGUAACUGGGCCUAAAAUUAGAAUGGAACAGCCCAGGCCCAGAUUCAUGACUUACACGUUGGGCCUGGGCCAAAACUGUUGAUGCUUCCCUCCUUACCCCUCUCAUUUUCUUGAUUAUUACACUACCUUUGUACGUUUAGUCACUAAUAACUCGUAAGCAUGUAAAAAAACUAGGAAUUUUCUUUUCAUUUUUAGAGACGAAACGAAGUAGAAAACAUAGUCGCUUUGGGAUAUUCUUUAAAUUGAAAAGAGGCGUGCCUCGCCAAAAAUAAAUUACAAAUUGUGGGGCCCUCAAUUAAUAGGUCAUAAUAGGCGAAUAGACUUCGGAAUUUACCGCUUAAUGAAUUUUAUGGCCUUUUCCCAAAAUAACAACACGGUAGUCUCUUUAGGACACGCCUUAAUUAAUCUUACCUUCCUAAACUCGGGUGUGCAUAUAUGCGACCCAAAUCCAAUCUCAACGGAGUCGAAAUGUGUCGACGGCCACGCGUACACUGGUUGUGACGUGGAAUGAGAUACGUUUUCACAACAUUGCAAUUCUCUUUUUCCUAAAUAACAAUAAUAAUAAAAAGCAGUAAAAGGUCACAAUUUGCACUAAGUACGUGAUGUUUAAAAUCAGAUAAAUAAUCCAAAUAUGACAGUCGAGUGACCGUACUAGAACCACGAAACUCGAAAAUGCCUAACACCUUCUCCCAGGUUAACAGAAUUCCCUAUUCGGAUUUGUGGUGCGUAAACUGUUAAAUAGAGUCAUUCUUUUACUCGAUUCGGGAUUCAAUCGGUGACUUGGGACACCAUAAAUUUCCCAAGUGGCGCCUCUGAGUUAAAUAAACAAAAUUCCGUUUCGAUUAUCCUUUAAUUGGAAAAACUCUUCUUGCCCUCACGGGGCGGAAAAAGGAGGUGUUACAAUUACUAUCAUAAUUACAUGGUACCAAAAAUAAAUAUCUACACUAUUAUUUUAUUAAAACAUCCAUGUAAAAAUACAUGUAUUUUCUCAACUUCUAACUUUUCUAAUCUCAUAUAAAGAGUAAAAAUUUUGACACGCUUAAUCCUUAAUAGGGUAAAACGAUAACCUUCUUUUCAGAUGAAAAAAAUAAUUCAUUAAUUUACAAUUAAGAAAAUCUCAUAAACUUUCAUAUAUUAUGAGUAUAGAUUAUCAUAUAUGAAAAUAGUAAUAAUGGUAACUAUCCAAAAUUAUCGUUAUAAAACUUUUACUAAAAUACUUUACUUAAAAAAUACCACACUAACAUAAUAUCUAACGGUAUAAAUGUUGUUAAACUUACGGGGUGUAACAUGAAUAGUACGCUCGGACUGCUCGUCCGUCUGAGGAUGAAAAGUUAUGCUCAACUCCACCUGAGUACCCAACUUCUCUACACGGCUAUCCAAAAAUGCAAAAUAAAUUGAGUACAUCUAUCUAAAAAGAUGGAAACCGGAAUACCAUGCAAGCGAACAAUCUCUCGGAUAUAGAUCACUGCCAAUCGCUCUGAAGCAUAGGUAGUACACACAGGAAUGAAGUGUGCAUACUUGGUCAGUCGAUCCACAAUCACCCAAAUAGCAUCAAACGUCUUCAAAGUCCGUGUAAGUCUAACAUUAAAGUCCACAGUGAUCCUCUCCCACUUCCACUCAGGAAUAACCAUCUGCUGAAGACAGCCACCCGGUCUGUGAUGCUCAUAUUUCAUCUGCUGACAAUCGAGACACCGAGCAACAAACCGCACAAUAUCCUUCUUCAUUCUUCUCCACCAAAGUGCUGCCUCAAAUCCUGAUACAUCUUCGCGGCACCCAAAUGAAUGGAAUACCACAAGCUAUGGUCCUCUUCUAGAAUCAAAUCCUGAAGCCCAUCUACAUUGGGCAUACACAUCCGGCCCUGAAUCUCAACACCUCAUUAUCACUGAUGAUCACAUCUGUGGUAUCAUCAUGCUGAACUUUGUCCCUAAGGACAAACAAAUGCAGAUCAUCAUAUCGGCGCCCUCUGAUGUGAUCAUAUAAGGAAGACCGAGGAACCACACAUGCCAACACCCGACUGGGAUCCGAAAUAUCCAACCUGAAAAACCGAUUGGCCAAGGCCUGAGCAUCAACUACAAGGGGUCUCUUCCCAACUGGAAUAUAUGCCAAACUCCCCAUACUCAUUGCCUUUUGGCUCAAAGUAUUGGCCACUACAUUGGCCUUUUCCGGAUGAUACAAUGUGGUGAUAUCAUAAUCCUUAAGCAACUCCAACCAUCUUAGUGCCUCAAAUUAAUAUCCUUUUGCUUGAACAAAUGCUGAAGACUACGAUGAUCAGUGAACACCUUAUAAGAUACGCCAUACAAGUAAUGCCUCCAAAUCUUCAAUGCAUGAAUUAUGGCAGCCAACUCCAAAUCAUGCACGGGUUGUUCUUCUCAUAGGACUUCAACUGAUGAGAAGUAUAAGCAAGAACUCUACCCUCCUGCAUAAUUACACAAUCAAUCCCAAUUAUCGAAGCAUCACAAUACACGGUAUAUAAACCUAAAACUGAUGUUAAAACACAUAUUGGAGAUGUGGUCAAGGCUGUCUUGAGCUUUUGAAAUCUCUCCUUACGCUCGUCUGACCAUACAAAUGAAACACCCUUUCUGAGCCAACUUUGUCAAGGGCGAUGUGAUAGAUGAGAAUCCCUGAACAAACCGGCGACAAUAGCCUGCCAAACCAAGGAAGCUACGAAUCUCUGUGGAAGAGGACGGUCUAGGCUAACUCUGAACCGCCUUUAUCUUUUUUGGAUCAACCUAAAUACCCUUGUUUGACACCAUGUGCCCCAAGAAAGCCACUGAACUGAGCUAGAACUCACACUUGGAAAAUUUUGCAUAAAUUUUCUCCUCCCUCAAUCUCUGCAAUACAACUCUCAAAUGCUCCGCGUGCUCGUCCUAACUAUUUAAGUACACCAUAGUGUUGUAACAUGAAGACUAUAACGAAUGAUUUAAGAUAAGACCGGAACACAUUGUUCAUCUAAUGCAUGAAUGUUGCUGGGGAAUUAGUCAACCCAACAUACAAAACAAGGAACUCAUAAUGACCAUAUCGGGUCUUGAAAGCAGUCCUGAUCUUCAACCGAUGAUAGCCCAAACGGAGAUCAAUCUUGGAGAACACUCUUGCCCCCUAAAAUUAGUUAAAUAAAUCAUCUAUGCAAGGCAACAGAUACUUGUUCUUAAUUGUUACCUAGUUCAAUUGUCGAUAAUCAACGCACAUCUCAUUAUUCCAUCCUCCUUCUUCACAAAAAGAACUGGUACACCCUAACCCCUUAAGUAGGAGUUCCUGAAGCUGCUCCUUCAAUUCCUUCAACUCUGCUGGUUCCAUACGAUAAGGCAGAAUAGUAAUGGGCUGAGUGAUGGCACCAGUUCAAUACCAAAAUCAUUAUCCUUGCCCGGUGGCAAGCCCAGGAAACACAUUAGGAAAAUACCUCAGAAUUGGGACAGAAUCAAUAUUGGGAGUCUCAGCUCCGACAUCCCUCACAAAUGCUAGAUAUGAAAGGAAACCCUUCCCAACCUUACGUCGGGCCUUCAAGAAAAAGAUCACUCAACUAAGUACAUAAUCAGUCACACCAUGCCACUCGAUCCAUGGUACACCUGGCAUAGCCAAAGUGAGUGUCUUAGCAUGAUAGUCCAGAAUAGCACGACACAGAGAUAACCAGUCCAUGCCCAAAAUGAAAUCAAAAUUUGCCAUGCUCAAUAGCAAUUGAUCCACUCGAAUCUCCAAACCCCCAACUGGAACCACACAUUACCGAUACACACAGUCUACAACAAUAGUAUCGCCCACUGGGGUAGAUACACGAAUAUGUAAAUCAAGAAACUCCUAGGGCGUACCUAGAUAAUGAGAAAAAUAUGAGGACACAUAAGAAAAGGUGGAACCGGGAUCAAAUAAUACAGAGGCAUCUUUGUGGCAGACUGAAACAAUACCUGUGAUGAUAUCAUCUGAAGCAAUAGCAUCUGGCCUGCCUUGAAUAGCAUAGAAAUGAGCGUGGCCACCAUCUCAUCGACCUCCCCCUUUGGGGAGACUCCUGGCUGCCUGACUUCCACCCCUAGCUGGGUGGGUGGGUGGUGAAGUAACUAGAGCAAAAGUCGAGGGCUGACCCCUCUAUUGGGACAAACUAGCAACACGAUGAGGACACUGCUUCCAUAUAUGCCCAAACUCUCCACACUCAAAAUAGAUCCUAGGUGCUGGAGAAGGGUACUGAAGGGAACCCCUCGCACUAGAGUGACUAACAGAUACACUCGCCAUAGAAGAGCCAUGAGCUGAUGGGGCAUGAGAUGAAUUCUUAGUUGGGAGGGCACUGAAUUAUGACUAGCCCUGCUGAGAUCUAUGAUAACCAUGACCUGAAGAUGCCCCGUGAUACUCUAGGUGUGCUAACUAAGAAGGCCUAAAAGAACGACCUCUACCAUCCUGAAACUGGCCCCUCGAAGGAGCACCACAAUAACUUCCCAAUCCUCGAGGCCUCUUGGCCUUCCUCUCCUCUCGCUCCUCAUAGCAAAUCGUCUCAAUCUCAUGAGUGAUAUCAAACACCUCCUCGAAUGUAGCACCGUCACUCUCAGUCUGGUCAUAAGAAUACAGAGAUAAUAAAUAGGCCAUUAAUAAUCUCCUAUUCCUCCCACGAUCUGUCCAAACCAUCUAGACGGCAUGACGAGCCAACUCAAAAACCCUCGACUCAUACUGUGACACAGUCACAACCCCCAAUCGCAACCAUUCAAACUGUCUACGCAGCUCCUCUCUACAGGACUGCGGCACAUACUUCUCCAAAAAUAUAGCAGAGAACUGCUGCCAAGUAAGGGUCAUUGCUCCAACAGGCCUACGCCUCUCAUACGCCUCUUACAAAGUGAAGGCAGCCGCAAAAACCUGAAAGGUGGUAACUAGCAUUCCACUAGACUCAAGAAUCCCUACGGUACGGAGCAUCCGCUAGCACUUAUCUAGAAAGCCCUGGGCAUCCACGCCCUUAGACCACUGAAUGACGGAGGCUGGAAUCCACCAAACCUCGCAAGAUGACGUUGCUCAUCAUCCGGCAUAACUGGUACUAUGAACUCCUGAGCUGGUGCAACCGACUUUGCUGGAGGUGUCCCCCGGCAUCUAAAGUACUUGCACUACCUGCUCAGGUGUUCAAGCAGUAGGGAUCUAAUUGCAUCCCUCGGCCUGUGAAGUAGUUGUUGUUGUGGUGGCUGAAACUGCCUGAGCGAAGACAGUGCAAACUAAUAAGAUCUAUGCCAAGGCCUUCUAUAGACGCUACGUCACGAUGGGCACAACUGGUGUUUCUGGAGCCUGAUCCUGAGCUGGGCAGCUGGUGGAUCAGCAGGUGAUGCCCUCACUGCUCUGCCUCCGCCAUGACUAGGACCACGUCCACGGCCUCUGGUGGUCUCAACUAGUGGCACUGGUGGUCGUCCACCUCGUCUGGUAGUCCUUGUCCUCAUAUCUGUGAGAGAAUAGAAUAAUAGAAGUUUAGUACUCUGAGCAACAAGCUUGCACAAAAAGAAAUUCAAGAAUAUGAAGCUUUUUCCAAAAGUUUCUACAGCCUCUCUAGGAUAAAUACUAACGUCUCUGUACUGAUCUGCGAGACUCUACUAAACUUGCUCAUGACUCGUGAGACCUAUGCAACCUAGGCUCUGAUACCAACUUAUCAUGACCCUAAUGCCGAACCCGGUCGUGAUGGUGCCUCUUGUGAAGGCAAGGCCAACCAGUCUAACACACUUCUACCUUUUAAGUUGAUACAUAAUAUAAAGACGGUUUAAACAUGAUUUAAUAGCAAUAUUCAGCGGAAAUAAAGAUAGCAAAAUUGAAAUCCCUAACAAAGCCCUAACCUGGGUGUCACAAGUCACGAGCGUCUAAGAUACUAAAUCUUCAAAUGUAAUUAUAGGGUUUCAAAUACUAAAAUAGAUAGAGAGGAGCAUCAGGCUGUGUGCCAGCAGUUACCUAAAGACUCCCCGAAGAUUCGCCUGAAGCUGGAAUGAGUCACCACUCGAGAGCAGGACCUGCUACGCCUGACUCUGCACACAUGGUGUAGGGAGUAAUGUCAGUAUACUGACACUGUGAGUAACAAAUAUAAAUAACGACUGAAAGAAAGAAAACAAGUAAACACAAAGCAUUUUAUACCAAAGUAAUAAAAUGCACUUAAAAUAGUAAAUCAGCAAAAAAUCAACCAGAAACCCUUAUUCAACAAGUAAAAUAGGUAAUUGACGGAAAUAUAACAAGUAAAAGUUCUCCCCUCGGGCACAGUAACAACAAAUCUGCCCCUCGGGCAACAACUUAGAAUAUUACCAGCCCCUCGGGCUCAAUCUUAGAAUAAUACCAGCCCCUCAGGCUCAAUCUCGCAUCACAAUGAGUACUCUCACACACUGGGGGUGUAAAGACUCUGUGAGGGUCCCCUUACGGUCCAAACGCAUUAUCAAGCCAUCUCAUGGCAUCGAAUCUAGGCCCUCGGCCUCAUAUUAAUCAAGCCACCUCGUGGCGUAUAUAUGUAUCUCAAGCCCUCGGCCUCAUAUAAGUAUCAGUGUAUUCUCAUAUCUGGCCCUCGCCGUACUCAGUCUGGAAAUCAUCACAAGCCCCUUAGGAUUUAGUCAAAUAGUAGUUCUCAUCCCAAAACAUCAUUUAAAAUAUAAUUUAUGCCUGAAAAUGGAGUAAAAUGGCUGAGUAAUAAAACAGUGAAAAAAAACAUGAUAGAGUUCAAAUAAUUAGUCAAAACAGUGAGAAAUUAGUGAUAAAAAUCCUUGAAGGGUUCAAAUAGUUGGCACGAAGCCCAAAUAUUGAAAUUUGCCCAAAUCAUGGUGGUAAUGAAUAAGUUUUAGUAAAAUAUGCGGUAAAAUCCGCAAUCGGGACGUACCAAGUCACAAUCCCAAUAGUGCACAACCCCACGCUCAACCUCAAGCAUGUGUCUAACCUCAAUAUAGCACUACGAUGUGCAUUUCGUGGUUUCAAAUCCUCAUAAUAUCAUUUACAAUUAUUACUCACCUCAAACCGCCUAAAUCUCUAGCUCGCGAUGCCUUUGUCCCUCGAAUCGGCCCCCACGCGUGCUGAAUCUAUCAAAAAUCAAUACGAAUACGUCAAAAUAUGUCAAGGGAUUAAAGAUCAAGUGAAAACAAUCAAAAAAUACCAAAAAUUUUGAAAUUAGCAAAACCUGAGCCAAGGACCCACUUCGAAAAACUCAAAAACAUUUAAAUCAACGGAUUCCUUAUCCUUCCGCGAGUUCAUAAAUAUCGAAAGUUCUCAAAUCCGACCCCAAAUGGUCCUCCUAAUCCCCAAAUCAAAAGUUCAAAAUCCCAUGCCAUAGUUCUUCCAUUUUAGCUAAAUUUCCAUGAUUUUCUAGGUAGAUUUCACAAUAGAAUUAAGUCUUAGGUCCGAAUUUCUUAACUCCAAAUGUUUCUGCUUGAAUCCCUCGUUAAUAUCUUCAAAAAGCUCUCAAAAUGAUCAACUAUGGAGGAAAUAAGCACUAAAAUUGCAGAUGAAAUGAGUUAAAAAAAUUUGCCCAGUUCUGCCCUUUCCUUCAUUGCAGUCACGGUACUAGCCUCGUGAUCGCGAAGCAUGAAUUUUUAAGUUCCCAAAAUAACUAUAUGUAAACGCAGAAAGGAUAUUGCGAAUGUGAUGUUAUUGCCUUUUUACACUUACAAGAACGCGAUCUCCCAAACGCGAACGCGUAGAACAAAUUACCUUGGACCCUUCUAAGUUCAUUCCUUAAAUGCGAUCGUAAACCAUUUCACGCGAACACGAAGCAAAAAUCCUAGCCCUCCAUGAACGCGAAGACUCUCACGCAAAUGCGAAUCCGUAGCUUAAAUCUGGCCUUCCUCAAUUCCUCCUACGCGAUCACGACACGCCCUAAGUGAUCGCGAAAGGUUAAAUUUCUGCAAUAACUAAUCCCAAAAUCUGCAAUAUUUCCAACUUAAAAAAAAUGGUCCGAUUGACCACCCGACCUCACCUGAGACCCCCGGGACCUCAACCAAAAGCACCAAUACAUCAUAAAACCUUAUUUAAACUUGUUUCAAUCAUCGAAAUACCUCAAAUAAAAUCAAAUCCACCAAUUCACAUCGAAUUCAAGCCAAAGUUUUCUAAUAUCUUCCAAAAUAUGCUUUUGAUCAAAAACCCAACCAAUCAACGUCCGAAUGAUCUGAAAUUUUGCACAAAUAUCCCAAAUAACACAACAAAGAUAUUAAAACUCUCGGAAUUCCAUUCUGGCCCUUAUAUUAAGAUCUCACCUAUCAACCAGAAAUCGCCAAAUAUCAACUUCGCCAAUUCAAGCCCAAUUAUACUCCAGACCUCCAAAACUAAUUCCGAUCAUACUACUAAGUUAUAAAUUACCUCCCAGAGCUAACCGAAUCAUAGAAACUCACAUUCGAGCUCUUUAAUACAUAAGUCAAUAUCCGAUAAAUUUUUCCAACUUAAACUUUCUUAAAAGAGACUAAGUGUCUUAUUCUUUACCAAUCCUCUCUGAACACAAACUAAUUAACUCGAUCAUAUAAAAUACGGAUAAUAAAGCAUAAAGAAGUAGAAAUGGGAAAACAGAGCGGUAACUCAUGAGACGAUUGGUCGGGCCGUCACAGAAUUUCUCUUUUUGGAGUAAAGUAUUGCGUCAUAGUGCCAUUGAUCAGAAUAGAGAUAGAUGUUGUUAUCAUACAUGACAAUAUUAAAGUAAUCGAUGGUGUAGGAAUAUUAAAAAAUAGAAGUGUUCGCCGACUAAAACACCAUUUGUAAUCUAUCAAACGCCUUUUUCAAAUCUAAUUUUAACAACAUGUAGGAAGAUUUUCCUUUAAUAUUCCUAAAGUAAUUUAAAGCUUUUUGUACUAUAAUCGUAUAAUCAGAAGCUCGUUUUCCUUGUUGGAUACUAGUUUGGGUAGGUCCUAUAAUUUUAUUAAUUAUAGGCUUUAGUCUAUUAACAAUACGCUUAAUAACCAAGUUGUAUAAAAUAUUGCAUAAUCUUCUAGAGCGAUAUUGCUGGAUAGUAGUAGGGCUUUUUACCUUAGGAAUAAGACAUAUAAACUUUUGAUCUAAUUCAUGGGGAAUAGUCUUGUUUGUAAAUAUAUUUUGACAAAAAAGAGUGACUUUAUUACCAAUAUCUGACCAAAAUGUUUGAUAGAAAAAUAGAUAAAAUUCAUCCGAACCAAGCGAUCUAUAAGGUUUAAAACUAAAUAGAGCACAUUUAACUUCCUUGUGACCAAGUGGCUCUUCCAAAAGCUGAUGUUCAUAAAUAGAAAGUCUAUAACUAUUUAAUUCAUUGUAUUUUUUAAUGGAAGCUAGUUUUCCAGUUUCGAACAGUGCUUGAUAAAAAUCAAGAAUACGUUAAUUAAGCUCACGCUGAUUAGUAAUCCAGUUACCAACUACGUCUUUUAAACUAUAAAUUCUAUUUCGCCGAAGCCUAUGAAUAGUAGACAUGUGGAAGAAUUUAGUGUUCGCGUCACCUUCAUUUAACCAAUUGAUGCGCGAUUUUAAUUUUUAAAAUUCUUCCUCUAAACGUAAUAUUUUACUAAACUGUAUAGAAAUAUGUGUUUCUACAUUUUAAGGAAUAUACUAGUAGGGUAGAGAACUAAAGCAUGAAUUCCUUUCCGUCUAACUAAUAAAGUUAUUUUUUGUUGGAAUAUAUUCCCAAAUUUUUAUUUAUUCCAAAGCGUAACUACUGCCUGGAAUUAUUUAGUAGUAUCUAGCAACGAUUGAUCCCCCUCCCAAACUUUUUUAACUAAUGCUGGGAGUUGUGGGUGUGAUGCCCGCAUUGUCUCAAAGUGAAAAAAAUUUUGUUGUACCCUAGGAGUUGACUCUAGUGUAAUUAAUAGGGAAUAGUGGUCCAAAAAAGUACGGGGGAGAUGCUUAACCACAGCUUCUAGGUACAAAUUUAGCCAAUCAUAAUUUGCUAGGAAACGAUCAAGUCUUUCUAAAAUUGUAUUAUCAUGUCGACGCUUAUUAGUCCAAGUGAAACGGCUACCAUGGAAGCCUAAAUCCAUUAGCUUGAAAUAAUUCAAACAAUUCACAAACUUAUCUACUCUAUUCUUACUUAUAGGAGCGCCACAAAAUUUCUCCUUUGAGUCUAAAAUUUUAUUAAAAUCAGCCCCUAAUAACCAAGGCAAUCCAAAGGUAUUGUGUAGAUUAAUUCAACUACCCCAAAGUUUAUUUCAUACAUUAUAGAGGUGAUUAGCAUAAAUAGCAGAUAAUAUCCAAAGUUAUUUAUUAGAGGAUACCUGGAUCAUGCAUUGUAUUUUUUGUUCAGAAAUACGCAUGUUUGCUAGCUUGAUUCCUUCCUAUUUGGACUAGAUAAAAUGAAUUGAUUGGGAAUUUUCUUUUCUUUUUUACCAAUGGAAAAGGGUGAUUACUUAUUCGGAUAAAGUCAUUUUAUUGUAUUUCAAAUUAUAUUUUAAAAGGGUGUAGUUUGAUAAUUUUAUUAUGUAAAUAGUUUUGAAACAUGAGAAAGUAUUGUAAGAUUUUAAGGACCCAUAUCCUAAUUGACAAUGAGAUUUGUUGGUCUUGAUAUAAAUCAGAAGAGCACUAUUAUUUUGGAACGAUUCCAAAUUAAAUCAUUUAAACGAGUGAAGUUUAUAACCAGAAGAAAAGAAUUGGAAGAAAAAAAGCAUUUUUAUUAUUUCAAAAUAACUUGUGUCUAAAGAAUAAACCUUAGGUGAUAGUUUCAUAGUAAAUAAGGAAAAAAAAA